CACGUAGGGCGCAAGCGUUGUCCGGAAUUAUUGGGCGUAAAGAGCUCGUAGGCGGUCUGUUGCGUCUGCUGUGAAAACUCGGGGCUUAACCCCGAGCCUGCAGUGGAUACGGGCAGACUAGAGGUAGGUAGGGGAGAAUGGAAUUCCCGGUGUAGCGGUGAAAUGCGCAGAUAUCGGGAGGAACACCGGUGGCGAAGGCGGUUCUCUAGUACGGUACUGACGCUGAGACGCGAAAGCGUGGGGAGCGAACAGG
rnacentral:rRNA from 1 species